rnacentral:lncRNA from 1 species
UUUACUGCUAGGCAGCCAGUACAGGAGGAUGGUCAGUGCGGCAAGAUGGACCCUUCCAAGGUUGGACCCUUCCAUGGCACAAAACCUGGAACUCCUUGGUACAGAGAGGCCAGACACACGUCAACCUCACGUCCAGUUCCUGUUGAGCCAAAGCUCAUGAGAACUUUUUUGUUUUGAUGGCUGUUGCUGCUGGAACAGCAGCUGUCCCGUGUCACCUCCUCUCUCGACAGCCUCGCAACACAUGCCGAAUGCUGUUGUGAACAAGCAGAAGGAAAGACAGACAUGUGCACAAAUGGAAAGAGCCAGUGGAUCGAGUUCCUAGGACUUGAGAUGUGGCUGCAUCUGGAGGUGUUGCAGGAAACGCCAGUGGACCUUUGGGGGCCCAGAAGUGACCCCGCCCAUGCAAGGCCGGCAUGGACGAGGCCGGUCAGAGCAGAGCAAUCGGUGUGCGGCUCACAUUAAACCAGGCCCUCCCCGUGCUCCUCUCAGGAACACCGAAGACCUGAGGAGGCCCGGGUGGCCCAGAGUCAGGUGGUCCCCAGGCCUUUCUCUCCGGCCGCAACCUGAGUGCACACCACAUUCCUCGCCCAGCGAAUCAGGAGAGAAGCUUUAAAAUUCCCGAGGUUCCUCAAUUUCCUUUCCCUGUGGUUCUGUGGCUUCAUGGGGUGGCAACUGUGAAGCCAGUGGGGGCUCAGGCUCCAGGAGGAUCAUCCCAGCAGGGUAGCAGGUGCCUGCGAAGCACCUCCAAGUCACACCAUUAAACAAAAGCCAUUAAAAGAAUAUUAGUAUUAAAGUAUUAAAACUAUCUGUCACAAUGAAAGAAUCCAUUUGAAGUUAAAGAAAACCAAGCAAAUAUGCCACCGGUGUCUCUUUCCAAGGCUUGUUUGAUUUCUCCUGGACUCUGGCUCUUGGCUGACCGAGCUGUGUGAUUCAGCUCAUGGCCCUAGACCACAUCCUCCCAGUAAACAGUGAACACGGACGGAUGGGGUGUGCCGGGAGGGCCAUCGUCGCCGUCUCCUGACCGUCAUUCUUCCGCAUGGCUUCCGGCAGCCUGUUCAUGGAUAAUGACUGCAUGAGCGCAGGUAAGUUUUAUUACAAUUUUACUCAGAGGUUUUGCAAACUGCAGGGAUGCAAUGUAUUCUUUUUUUCUUGAAAGUAAAAACGACAAUGUGUGCCAAGUGUUCAAGAGAGAGAGGCCUUUACUUGCAGGAGAAAAUUUUCUCAACUCUACCCUCUGGAAGAACUGAAGAAAAGCUUGGUCCUAACUAAAUGCAUUCAAAUACAUGACGAAUGGUGAUUAUUAAGAAUCCAGAUAAGGAACGAAGUGGAACAGUUCCCGUGCCCCAGGAGCGCAGAGCUCCUCACUCACCCAGGCUGCGAUGUUUCUGCUUUGUCUGGAGCUCACGCUGUGGGAGGACUGGGCUCUGAAGGGCACAGACACCCCAUCUUUCUAGCUCUCCAUGUCAGCCGAGGUGACCCCAGAACUGGACUGGGUGCAGAGGUCAAGCUAGAGCCCCUCACGUCUGGCAGAGCAAAACUCGGCUCAAGGUAACUGUGGUUGGGGAUGCUCUGGGUGCCCCACACGGUUCAAGCCCUCCCCAGACCUGGGUCUCAGGGAUGCCACUUGGCACUGACUACACACUACACGCAUGCAGAUACAUGUACAUGGGUACACAGGCAUGCACACACCACACAACACUCACCCACACUCACAUCAUACAUAUGCACAUGCACACACACAGAGGCAUGCACACACCCAAACAACACACACACCCACACUCACACUCACGUCAUACAUAUGCACAUGUGCACACACACAGGCAUGCACACACCACACAACACUCACCCACACUCACAUCAUACAUACGCACAUGCACACACACACAGGCAUGCACACAUCACACAACACUCACACCCACACUCAUGUCAUACAUACACAGAUGCACACACAUACACACACAGGCAUGCACACACCACACAACACUCGCAUCCACCCUCACGUCAUACAUAUGUACAUGCACACACAUACACAUUCAUGCACACAUCCAAACACACACACCCCACACAUCAUACAUAUGCACAUGCACACACACACAUUCACACAAACAUGCACACCCCACACUCACAUGUCACAUACACACAUGCCCACACACAUAUACACAUGUGUGCACAUGCCCACACUACACUCACACCCCACACUCAUACAUAUGCACAUGCACACACACAUGCACACGCCCACAACAUGCACAUCCCACACUCAUGUCAUACAUAUGCACACACAAAUAUACACACAGCCAUGCACACACUCACACAACAUACAUAUCCAUGCUCACAUGUCAUACAUAUGCAUGCACACACAUAUACACAGGAAUGCACAUGCCCACAUGACAUGCACACCCUACGCUCAUGUCAUAUGCACACACAUGCACACACAAUGUCAUACAUAUGCACAUGCAUGCACACACAUAUAUACAGGCAUGCACACAUCCACACAAGAUGCACACCCCACACUCAUGUAUCAUACAUACACACACACACACAGAUAUACACACAGGCAUGCACAUGCUCACACAACAUGCACACCCACACUCAUAUAUACUCACAUGCAUGCACACAUAUAUACACAGGCAUGCACACACCACACAACACACACACCCCACUUACAUAGGUCAUACAUAUGCACACACACACACAGGCAUGCACACACCACACAACACUCACAUCCUACAUCACAUGUGCACACAAACACCCACACUUCACACUCUCACACAAUACACCCCACAUCACACAUGCACAUCCUUUAUACCUACAUUCAGGAUCACACACAUACAUCAUACACAUGCAUACACACAGAACACUCACAGCUCACACUGCACACAAACAUUCCACACCCAUAUCACACACUCAUACACCACACACAUGCACACACCUAUGUGCAUGCACACACAGGUACACACGGCAUGCAUAGGCCCACACAACACCCACACCCAUCACACACACUCCCACACACACACACACACACACUCUCCUGGGCCUUCAGUGCUGAGUUUUUACUUCACACCUUUCCUGGAUGAUCUUAACUAAAGACUUAUGAAAAUUAUAAGCAGGUUUUUUUUUGCUGACCUUCUAGAUAAAUUAUAUUGUCUAUGUUGUAACAUAUUGCUGGGAUCAAAGGAGGCAAAUCUGCAUCUUAUUCACUUGAAAAUCAAGUAGAUCAGAAUCAUAACAAACUAGCUAUUUCUUAUGUUUUUUUUUCCUUUGAACAAAUUCUAAAUCCUUCUUUUGGAGAAACUGAAAUGCCUCCAGAUCCUUAUUAAAAAUAUAAGUUAAAGAAAAUGUAGAAGUGUAUGAAUGAGUACUGUCAUUUUAAAGUCACCAUCCCCAAUACUCCAGGAGGACAGGGAAUUGUGCAAAAUAUCCUGGUAAGUUUCUAUCGACUGCUGGACCAUCCCAUAAUACUGUUGAGGUGCUGGCAGCAUCAACGCGGAGACACCGGACCUCUGCACCCCUGUGCAGGCGAGCACAGCUUCACAAUUCAAGGGGGGAUUGUUAAAAGGGAAAGACGAAUACGAUGGCUCCACAAUUCCGAGUCCUAUCUGUGUGUGAACACGUGCACAUUGGUGCGACGCGGUGCCCACCGCAGUUUGCUGCCAUCCCACCUACCUGCCCUGCACAACCAGUGCCAGGGCACCGGGGCAGGACCGAGAUGCAAACGCAGCGUCUGUGCUGACAGAAGAGGUUUGGGAGCAGCACGAGAGCCCCAAGGCAGGGGACUGCUGAGGUACAUCCUGGAGCAUCCGUGUGAUGGGGCACACGCAGUCAUUCCCAGAUCAGUGCAGAGCACACACACCCACAUGGGGGCCUCCACGAUGUGGCUAGGUCCUCAACACCUAUGUCAGAAUCAACAAGCAUGUGCGGUCAAUGGCGUUCAGGAGGCCGUCUGCAGCUGAGUAACAAUCACACCAAAUUGUGAAUAUUGAACAGGUGGAGGAGAACAGGAGCUGGGCUCACCCAGGGCAAACCUUCUCAUGCUGCCUGGAACACGCACACACCACUUGCACCUUUUACCCAAAAGGUGCUCAUGCACUGGUCCAGCGGGGAUGCGUGAAGCAUGCAGCCAGCUCCCCUCCCAGGCCGCACUGACUGCUGGUACUGCUGCUUCCGGGGGCCUGGCCUUUACGGGGGUCUGGCAGGAUCCCUCCUGCAGGUGCACAGCCCAGGCUCUCCUCCCCCUUGCUCCUGUAGGGCCGGCAGCUGCCUCGGUCCCUCUGAGUCUAUUUUGGGUUCAGAAAGUGCCU